rnacentral:rRNA from 1 species
GACGAACGCUGGCGGCGUGCCUAAUACAUGCAAGUCGAACGCAGUUGCGAACGUGAGAGUUACGCGUCUGUAACUACCUAUUAGAGGGGGAUAACUAUUGGAAACGAUAGCUAAUACCGCCUACUAGUAGAUGGACCUGCGUUGUAUUAGCUAGUGGGUCGGGUAAAGGGCUACCUAGGUAAUGUUACAUAGCCGAGCUGAGGGGGUGGUCGGCCACAAUGGGACUGGGAAACGGGCCAGACUCCUACGGGAGGGAGCAGUAGGGAAUCGUCGGCAAUGGGGGGAACCCUGAACGAGCAAAGGCGCGGGAGUGAAGAAGGUUUUCGGAGCGGAAAAGUCUGUUGUUAAGGAAGCGGUACUUAACCAGAAAGGGACGGCUAACUACGUGCCAGCAGCCGCGGUAAUUC